rnacentral:rRNA from 1 species
CCCUGCCUUCGGGCGGGGGCUCCGGGUGGACACUUCAAACUCUUGCGUAACUUUGCAGUCUGAGUAAACUUAAUUAAUAAAUUAAAACUUUUAACAACGGAUCUCUUGGUUCUGGCAUCGAUGAAGAACGCAGCGAAAUGCGAUAAGUAAUGUGAAUUGCAGAAUUCAGUGAAUCAUCGAAUCUUUGAACGCACAUUGCGCCCCCUGGUAUUCCGGGGGGCAUGCCUGUUCGAGCGUCAUUUCACCACUCAAGCCUCGCUUGGUAUUGGGCAACGCGGUCCGCCGCGUGCCUCAAAUCGACCGGCUGGGUCUUCUGUCCCCUAAGCGUUGUGGAAACUAUUCGCUAAAGGGUGUUCGGGAGGCUACGCCGUAAAACAACCCCAUUUCUAAGGUUGACCUCGGAUCAGGUAGGGAUACCCGCUGAACUUAAGCAUAUCAAUAAGCGGAGGAUCUUUCUAGAAGAUCUCCUACAAUAUUCUCAGCUGCCAUGGAAAAUCGAUGUUCUUCUUUUAUUCUCUCAAGAUUUUCAGGCUGUAUAUUAAAACUUAUAUUAAGAACUAUGCUAACCACCUCAUCAGGAACCGUUGUAGGUGGCGUGGGUUUUCUUGGCAAUCGACUCUCAUGAAAACUACGAGCUAAAUAUUCAAUAUGUUCCUCUUGACCAACUUUAUUCUGCAUUUUUUUUGAACGAGGUUUAGAGC